GACGAACGCUGGCGGCGUGCCUAACACAUGCAAGUCGAACGGAAAGGCCCUGCUUUUGUGGGGUUCUCGAGUGGCGAACGGGUGUGUAACACGUGAGUAACCCGCCCUUGACUGUGGGAUAACUUCAGGAAACUGCGGCUAAUACCUGAGAGGAGCUCCUGCUGCAUGGUGGUCGUUGGAAAGUUUCGGCUGUUGUGGAUGUAUUCGCGGCUUAUCAGCUUGUUGGUGGGGUAGUUGCUUACCAAGGCUUUGACGGCUAGCCUGCCUGAGAGGGUGGACGGGCACAAUGGGACUAAGAGACGGACCAGACGGGUACGGGAGGCAACAGUGGGAAGUAUUGCACAGUGGGCGGACGUGUGAUACGGAGGCGCUGCGUGCGGAAUGACGGCCUUCGGGUUGUAAACCGCUGUCGCCUGAGACGAAGCGGGAGUGACGGUAAUGAGUAAAGAAGCACCGGCUAACUACGUG
rnacentral:rRNA from 1 species